rnacentral:rRNA from 1 species
CCUACGGGAGGCUGCAGUGGGGAAUAUUGGGCAAUGGGCGCAAGCCUGACCCAGCAACGCCGCGUGAAGGAAGAAGGCUUUCGGGUUGUAAACUUCUUUUCUCAGGGACGAAGCAAGUGACGGUACCUGAGGAAUAAGCCACGGCUAACUACGUGCCAGCAGCCGCGGUAAUACGUAGGUGGCAAGCGUUAUCCGGAUUUACUGGGUGUAAGGGGCGUGUAGGCGGGAAAGCAAGUCAGAUGUGAAAACCAUGGGCUCAACCUGUGGCCUGCAUUUGAUACUGGUUUUCUUGAGUACUGGAGAGGCAGACGGAAUUCCUAGUGUAGCGGUGAAAUGCGUAGAUAUUAGGAGGAACACCAGUGGCGAAGGCGGUCUGCUGGACAGCAACUGACGCUGAGGCGCGAAAGCGUGGGGAGCAAACAGGAUUAGAUACCCGAGUAGUC